rnacentral:rRNA from 1 species
UGUGAGAGCAAGAGCCCGGAGAUGGAUUCUGAGACACGAAUCCAGGCCCUACGGGGUGCAGCAGGCGCGAAAACUUUACAAUGCUGGCAACAGCGAUAAGGGAACCUCGAGUGCCAGGUUACAAAUCUGGCUGUCGAGAUGCCUAAAAAGCAUUUCAUAGCAAGGGCCGGGCAAGACCGGUGCCAGCCGCCGCGGUAACACCGGCGGCUCGAGUGGUAACCGUUAUUAUUGGGUCUAAAGGGUCUGUAGCCGGCCGGAUAAGUCUCUUGAGAAAUCUGGCAGCUUAACUGUCAGGCUUUCAGGAGAUACUGUCUGGCUCGAGGCCGGGAGAGGUGAGAGGUACUUCAGGGGUAGGGGUGAAAUCUUGUAAUCCUUGAAGGACCACCAGUGGCGAAGGCGUCUCACCAGAACGGACCUGACGGCAAGGGACGAAAGCUAGGGGCACGAACCGGAUUAGAUACCCGGGUAGUCCUAGCCGUAAACGAUACUCGCUAGGUGUCGGCCACGGUGCGACCGUUGUCGGUGCCGUAGGGAAGCCGUGAAGCGAG